GGUCGAUACGGUUUAUUGGGCGAAGGAGGCCGUUUUUAGCCAUAAUAUAAAAAAAAGUAUAAAUAGGUCGACUUCGAAGAAUUGGUCGAAAAAUUACCGCUAGUUCUAAUGAAUAAAUGGUUUAAACCAAUAACGUUAUCAUAUAGUAGCCUUUAAUCUUAUUUCACAGUUUUAAACAAAAGGGAAAUAAAAUGUAUUUCUUGAAAACAUCGUAAGAAAAUGUCUGAAAUUGCGUCAAAAUUUUCAAACCAAAUAAUUCAGUACAGCCGGUUUUAAUUUAAGAUCGUUUUUUAUUACUUCCCUGCCAUGUGUACAAACUGGUGUUAACCGGGGGAUAGUUACCUAGCCUGGAGGCAUGACUACGGUAGCACAUGCCACCCUGUGUCUCUAUGUGACUUUUUACUGUGUAUAUACACACGAGUCAACCUCUGAUCUUAUUGAAGCCUGAAGGCAUGGGUAGCACGUGCCGAGAGUUCAACUGUGUAUAAACAAAGUCAGCGCUACCCAGACUGAUUUCAGAGACACCUGGCUAAAAUUUCAUCGAAAGUUUUAUGUUGAAUAUACAGAAAAAAACUUGUUCAUGUAUUCUAUUAUGAAAACAAAUUGUUUUUUUUUUUAUUUCUACCCGACGAUAUUUCCCCCCGUAAUUACCCUUUGUACGGUUCUCAUUUUACUUUUACCACGCGAAAUCGAUUUCCUGUUUAUCGUAAGCACAUGAUCAAAAUGCAUGACAGCAUUUAAUGAUUCAGUCAGUGAUCUAAGUAAGAAAUGUAAGAAGAAAUAAAUCUAUUUACAUUUAAUUUUGUUUAAAUGAUAAAUUACUACAGUAUAUUGAUUAAAAUCCAUACGAUUUUUACACAGAAAUUCAAGCAGUAUUAUAGUAAACACUCAUGAUUUUAUUGGAGGGUUGCAUAAAUUUUUGCAAAAUUCCAACC
rnacentral:sRNA from 1 species